GCUCUAUCCCUGGUCAAAUCCUCUCUCCCUGGAUCUAUACCCAGAGGGCAGUCCCAGACUGUCCCUCUAAAGAAUUUUACUCUGUGCUAUAAACGAUAGCUACGAGAGGCCCAGGGACGGAGAGUCAGGUUGGUGAGGGAGCUCAAGGAAACUUGAUUUUACCAAGGAGAACACAGGCCAGAGAUCUGGAGCUUCUUGCUCAAAGUCACGGCAGUUGUCAUGGAUGAGGAAAGAGAGGGAAAUUGUACUUAAUUUAAUGAUUCUGGUUCCAGAGCUCUUUCCAGGAGAGUGAGCUCCACUGUGAAGUCUUUGUCUCAAGAUGGAGAGGAUUGGAGUCCAUGGAAAUUUCAAAUGGAGGCAAAAGGAAGAGGUAGGAGCCAAGGCCUGGGCUAUUGGGAAUCCCCAUUGAUCACAGCAGCACCCUGCCUAAGCCCUUGGAAAGAGGCUGGCAAGGGUCACAAUCGUUAGGAUGCUCAGGACCUUCUAGAAGCCAUCGGUGCUAUUUAAAGAGAGGCUCUCCCCCAUCUCUCCCAACUCUGUCUGUCCUUCAUUUUAUUCAUGUCUUGAGCUAGUACUACCCCACCCACAAGGGUUGCGCAACCCCCUUUCCUUCCAACACCUCUGCUUUUCUAAUCUCCUACCACAGCUACCUAAACCUGUCUCUGGGACAUGUUAUCCCAAACUGCCAUCUACAGUCCAGGUAUUAAGCGCUUUCUCAUAUAUUGCCCUGUGACAUCGCCUGUACCAUCUAUGUGGUGGUUACUUUACUCCUUGAACAGCCUUCUGUCAGCCAAUGUUCCCAGACUCCCUUUGUACAGAGGCAGUACCACUGCUUAUCAAUAGACCCAAGUAGCCAGGAGCUGUCCACACCUCCACUUCUACCUGCCCAACUGUUGUGUCCUCAGAGACCUAAAGUCCAGAUGGAGUCGCCACAGAAUGGAUAAGUUCACUUCAUCUGUGAGCAGACUUUGCACAAACAACAUGUUACAUAUUUUGUCAACACAUCGAGAGCUGAUGACAUAUUUAUAUAACUAUCACCAUAGCCACUGAUCACAGCAGCACCCCGCCUGAGCCCUCAUCUAUACUGACCAAUAAAAUUAGCUUCUGCUGUGAAAUCUUGGGUCUGUUACUAAUUGGUAAAGAGUCAUUUUCUCACUUCUGGACCUCAGUUUUGUCCUUUUAAAAACAGCAGACAUUGGAAGGUAUGGGGGGGAAAACCCAUAUUUUCCAUACACUAUGUUCCAGUCAAUGUGUCUUAUACACACAAAUACACAUUGAAUCUGACAACUGCUCUAUGAGAUUGAUUCCCCUAAGAAGGAAAAAUCUGAGUUGGGGUGGGGAGGGCUAGGGGUUGUACAGCCACCCUUCCCAGGUCACGUAGCUACUAAGUGGCUGUCUGGAGUUUGGACACAGGCAAUCUGACCCCGGAGCCCUGAAUAAUAACCACCAUGUUUCAUGAUCACUCAAACUCCCUCAAGCACGACUCUGCCGUAGCAUUCAUAUUGAUCCUGGACUCUCCACGUGCAUGCUUAUCUUCCAAGUCAAAUCGGAUUUAUUUGGGAACAGAAGUGAUGGCCCCGUUGCUGUUCAUAGCAGCCCCUCUCACUGGUUCCUGAGCCUAGGACAGAGUGCACCUGACUACAUGACUUGUAAAUCCUCCGUGAGCUGAAUUGGACAACCUGAAGUCAAAUCACAGAGCUGUAUCUCCUGGCUGGUGACUCUGACUCGAACAGUGAGAUUGCAUUAAAGACUCAGAAAGAAAACCCAGAGCCCUUCAACCUGGUGGUUCAGUGUGUGCCCCUCAUUCCAUCGAUAUGUGGUCUACAUGCUGGUUUAUAAGAAGUCCUAUGUGUAUGUGUCCUGGGAGGAUUCAUGCCUCUGCCUCUGUUUUCUGAAGAAUCACAGGCCUGCCAAUGAGUGAGUUGACUUCAAGGUACUUAAAAGAAGCACACAAAGGGUCAGGCUCAGCCAGGCUCUGUGAGGGACCAUUGCUGUGCAUAACCAUUUCCAUGCCAGUUCCAGUUGAAAAAGUAGCAAGUGAUCUCAGUGCAGGGACUGUCUUCAUGCUGUGGCAAAAUACUGGACCAGAGGCCAAAGGAAGGAAGGGUUUGCUUUGGUUCACAGUCCCGUUUUAGGGUCCAGUCAUCACGACAUGGGAAGUCAUAAAGCAGGGACUUGAGGAAGCUGGUCACACUGCACCCACAGUCAGGAAGCAGAGAGAGAUGGAUGUCUGAGCUCGCUCUGUUAAUCCCAGUGUAUUCGGUGCUGGACCUCAGCUUGUGGGAUGGUGUCAUCCACACUCAGAGUGGUCGUCUUCAAUUAAUACAUCCUAGGUUCACAGGAGGGCCUGGAACUUUGUCCCCUAGGGAACCCUAAAUCCUGUCAAAUUGACAGUCGAUUUUAACUAUAACAGGUGAGGAACAUUGUUGACUGUGUCUGCCUGUUUCUGCAGUGCAAAAUAUUCAGCCUACUGUAAGAUAGCGAUGUGAUGUCACCGGGCUGACCAUUAGAAGGGAGUUCAACAUUGAGCUCUGAACAGCCCCUCGGAGAAGGCCCCAGAAUCAGACGCUAUGCAAAGCAUGGUGGGCUUUUACCUCCACAUCCCCAAUGUACGAUUAAAGAAUUGAUGGAAGCUGGAGGAAUGUGAGUGAGCUCCAGUGAGAAUUGUGUCCAGGUAGAAGAAUAUUAGACCCUGAAGAUACGUGAUUGUCCUCUAUGAGCAAAGGCUUCUAAGUCCCACAGAAAACAGACUUAGACUCUCAUCGGUCCGGGCUGGCUAAUGUCCAAUUCUACCUGCAGGCAAAUGAACAGACCAGGUACCUCUAAACAUCACCCUCGGCCUCAGAGUUCAGUGAUGCAAACAUAAUUUGCUCUCAACUUUCUUUGGCCACUAGGGGCCUUGUCAGAUUGUCUGUAGGUCAGAGGCAGUAGUACCAGAACAGCUAGUUGCAAGCUGUCUGUACCAAUGAGAGGCAGAGUUGCUGGGCACGCUGGGUACUUUUACUGCAGCUAUCGAGAGUGAUCAGACACCAUGCGGAUGUACAACUCUUGAAUCCUCAACUUCAGAGAAUUCAGACUACACAGGGAGGCUCCUAACUACUAAAGGUGGGAGAGAGACCUGCCUGUGCCAGGCCUUCACCAAGGUUGCUCAGAAUGAACCUUGCACAUCCCUGCCAGGUCUUGGCACUCACUCUCUGCCCUACAGAGCUGGCCCAGCUCACCCAAUCACAGCAGCCCUGCAGCUUCCCUGCCUGGCACAGGACCUCUUGCUGCAUAUCCAUCAUCUCCAGGGCUCUGAGCCAUUGUCCAGAGCCUUUCCUGGGACUUGGCAGAUAAUGACCCAGACUCCUGAAACCUCGUAGGGAGGGCAGGGACCUGACUGCCAAGGAGCAGACAGGAUGUGGAGAGAAGCUUUUCAUUCCCCAUAUACAGGAAGCUUUGAAGAGACAGCAGACGAGCUGUCUCUGAGGAACGUCAUCUCCCACCAGUGAAGACUGGCUGCCAGGGAGGGUUUCUGGCCAGGCCUGCAUCCAAUGGCCUGAUCAUAUUUCCAGAGACAACCAUGAAGGAGGGGACUGCUCCUGUUUCUAAGAGGUGAAACUUCAGCACCGGGCGCUAAUCAAGCUGAGUUAACGAAGGAGCAAAGACCCGCGUUCAUUUUCCUCCCACAGAACCUCAGACGCGGGCUAAAAACGAGAGAUUCUGCAAAGUGCCCCGCUAAGCAUGCUUAUUGCAGAGGCGAGGUAGAGAACCAGACACGCUCAUGAGCAAGUUGCUUGUGAAGGCAGAAUUAAGCAUCAGAUCCCCGACUUUUGGUUUACUGCUUACACGGGCCCAGCAAAUAACACAAAUGAUGAUCCAUGGGAAGCGUAGCUUUUCAGAGAAAAGCCAACGGACUAAUUCACUGGCACGAGAAAGCUAGACUCAGCACUCAGACAGCAUUUGUUUUGAUUCUCCAGCCUGCACAUCGAGGGGUCAGCACAGCAGUGUCAACCCUGCCUGUGUGACACUUGUGCUCUCCUGACCCUGUCUCCCACAAAGCCUGGUUUUCCUGAGAUACCCCUGGUCUACCAUUCAUUCAUUCAUUUAUUCACUCACUCAUCUGUCCAGUGUCUGCCCACUCUCCUUCUAUCCAUCCCUCAUUCAACUAUGAAUCCAGCAUUUCAUUUUCUAAAGGCCCAUCACGCUCCAGACCUUCCUCUGGUUUCUGGGGGAUGUUUUAUACCUAGCAGUGAUUAAGAACAGACAUUUUGGAGUCAGACUAACUGAAGAACAAACAGGUUCGCUGCUUUCUGGCUGUGUGGCCCUGAACCCAUUGCAGGCCUCACUAAACCCCAGUUUCCCUGUCUGUAAGACGGCCAUAAUGAUAUCUCCCCUUUGAAACUGUGCUGAAAACAAACACGCGAAAAUGAGCGUGGGUAGAGACCCACAGGUAGAGCAUGCGCAGACAGCCCACAUAGGGAUUGCCCACAGGUGGAGCAUGCGCAAACGACCCAUGUUGAUCUCGUCCCCCGCCCCUCCCCAUCCCUUCAGAAGAACUUCUUCCAAUCCACUGUUCACACCCUCGCCAUUAUCCCUCUCCUCCCAUUUGAGUUUCUGUUUGUAGCUAGCUAUCUUAGUUUGUUUUGUGCUAUGAUAACUCUGAAACUGAAUCCUUUGCAAAGAACAAAAGUUUAUUUCUUUCUAGUUAUGGAAACCAAAAAUGUCCUAGGUCAAGAUACCAACAUCGGUGAAGGAUUUCUUACUAUGGUGGCAAGGCAGAAGGCAUCACACGGAAGAGAGAACAAAUUCUAACACAGUGGUUCUCAACCUCCCUAAUGCUAUGACUCUUAACACAAUUUUUCAUGUUGGGGUGACUUCCAAACAUAAAAAUUAUUUUUGUUGCUACUUCAUAACUGUAAGUUUACUACUGUUACGAAUCAUAAUGUAAAUAUCUCCAUUUUUCUGACUGUCUAAGGCAACCCUGUGAAAGGGUCAUUCAACCCCGAAAAGGGUUGCAAUGCUCAGGUUUAGUGCCAGUGAUCUGGAGGUGUGAGUAGGAACCUGUCCUUUUUAUGAGGAACCCACUCCUGCUAUGAGGAGAAUAGAGUUGAUCUAUUAAACUAUCUCCAGGCCCAGUAAUGUGGAAGCCUCCUCAGAGGUCUUACCUUCUAAAAUGGCUGUCGUGGGAAUCAAAUUCCAACAUAUGGGGUUUAGGGAAGACAUUCAAACCAGAGUAGCAACCUGUCUCACUUCCUGGAUGUCUCCAUCUUUAGCCCUUAUGUACCCUGCACCAAAUUAACUCUCCUGCCCAGUGAACUAUCUACGUAUCUUUCGACGAACACUUUCUCAUCCUACACUUUCUUCCUCUGUAGAAAGCUAGGAUUCAGUCCUCACCUCAACUACCAUCUCCUAAAGAAAUGUGCUUGAACCCCUCCCUAUUUGGCCCCUUCACUUCCUGUCCUUCUUCAGUGGUCCUCGCCUCAACGACUCUGCUCACCUGCAUCCUUGUCUCCUCUCUCAUUGCCCCAAGCAUGUUCACAAUCUCCUUGACAGCCUGCCCAACUCAGUUUCCCCACGAUGCCCAGCAGUCACUUGCACAUAAAUACUUGUUAAUUCGACCGAGCUGCUUCCCCCACCAGUCCUGUUCCCACUCAAUCUCACUUCAUAUGUCAAGGCUGUUGAUUUUAUUACCAGGAAAUCAUCUGCAUAUUCCUACCUGCUUUGCUCCCCAUGCCUGAUAUCUCAGAUUUAAAGGAUCCUGUGUACUUACAAGGCCACCUUGGAGGCCUCUGCCAGCUUCUCCUCACUGUCCACUACUCUCCAACUGCACUCUCUACUGCAGUGACACUGGACCACCUGACCUUCUUAGCAGUUGCUGACAGCUCUCUGCUGUCCACUUAUCUCUCCUCCUUUUCUAUUUGACGAGUUUCAAAUCAACCUGCACUCAGUGAGCGCUCGCAGGAGCCUCGUCUGAUUCCUCACGCCUGCUUCCAGAGAUCAGUCUGCUGUGUGCAUUGAAAUGUGUUGAUUUUUUUUAAGGUUGUUUGAACCAACAGAAUGGCAACUUGGGAAUUAGUGACUGUAUGUAUCUCUUCCCUUUUUGCAUUGCAAAUUGUUUAUAAAAGUAUUUUUGGUGGGAGCGUUUGAGUGAACAAAUGGAAUGUUUGCACUCACUUUGGUAAAGACUAGAAAUGAAGAGGAAAUGUUGAGGCCAUUGGGCUCAAUGAAUCUUUAAUUUGUACUCUGAAAGGAAUAGAGAAGGGAUGGUAUUCAUGAAAGAAAAAUGUGGUUAUGCUGAGACUUUUAGCUUCAUAUUACCUGAAAACUCACUGUCAAGGCUGAGAAGAUAGCUCGUAGAUAAAGUCCCUGCUACAUAAACUUGAGGACCUGAAUUCAGACCCCCAGCACCCAUGUAAAAGAGUCAAACAUGAUAGAAGUGACUGAGUAAACUUCUUUGCUGAGAGAGGGGAUAAAUAGAGACAGAGAGAUCCCUAGAGCUCUUUGGCUGGUUAACCUGGCCAAAUCAAAGGACCCCAGUUUCAGUGAGAGCCCUUAUCUCAAAAAAUAAUAUUGGAGGAAUAUUUUGAAGAAAGAUACUUGCUUGAUGCUACCUUUUAGUUCCACAUGCACACAAAAAAAACCCAUGCACAAUGCACAAUUAACCGGUUCCCUGUAAAAUCAGGAAGGGACACUGUUGUGUGCAGUGCAGGUGCUGGCCAAACUUAGCAUUUCCUUGCUGUGUUAGUACGUGCGGUGCCAUGUGUGGAGGUAACACUAGGACACCUGUCACUCAGGGAAAGACAAUAUACAGUCUAUCACUAAUUCUGUCACACACCCUUUGGGAAUUUGGAAGUGAAGUCAUCUGGGAUUGAGGGUCGAGUGGAUGGGAAAGAAACACCUGGAUCGGUGAAAAAUAUUUAACAAACAGCGGGUGUUAGGUCUCCACUUUUGUGUUGAUAUAAUGAAAUGUCAAAGAGAACCAGUUAUGGGAGAAAUUAUUUACUUUAUUGCAGGGAUUCCAAGGUUUCCAUCCAAGCGGACGGGGAAGAAAAACAGCACAGAAAAGGGAGACAAGAAGGAACUAUGGAUAUGGCAAAGUGAGUUGAGUUCUGGGUUAAGGCCACCUUGGAGCCAGUAUUAACAGAAGCUCAGAAAGGUUACCACCAAGGGACUCUUGGGGAGCACCCCUUUUUCUGUGCUUCUGUUACCCAGAAGCAUCUUCCAGAGGACAGAGCAAGCCUACCACACCAACACCUCUUCUGUGAGUGAGGUGUUCCUGCUGUUGAUGAUGGAAAAACAAAGGAAAGAUCCUUUCUCAAGAUGCUACCCAAGAAGCACAUUAGUAUGACCAGUCUGAAGAGCUGUGGUGAUUCCGCUCAGGGCUUCUGCGCACCAAAAAUUAAAAGCAAAGAUCCUUAAAUCAACUGGACUACUUCUGGGCAGAUGGUCCAAAACCGUGUGUCUAAUGAGAAAGAGCUUUGUGGGGGAACAGUCACCAUCCUCCAUGCUGCAACUGCACCAAAGGGCUCAACAGUGCGGCAAAGACCACGUGACAUACGUGACCCUGACCCUUUGCACCUCUCCAAAGUCUGCCAGCCAAUGAGCAUUCAUCUUUUGGAGCUACAAGUGCAUGCUGGUCUGUGUGUGUGUGUGUGUGUGUGUGUGUGUGUGUGUGUGUGUGUGUGUGCAUGUGUGUGCAUGUAUGUGGGGGUGUGUUGCGCAUACAUGAGUGGCUUUUCAUGCUGGGCAUUCAAACUCAAGUAUUUAUACUAUAGAGCAAAACUUUCCCCCCACUGAGCUAUUUCUCCAGUCCCUCUGAUUUUUUUUAAGUCAAAAUGGUAUUAUUAUAAAUAUCAUAAUACUUUAAAAUCAAGAAGUCCCCGUGUUGUGUCUGUGUAGCAAAGGACAAUAAAACAUGGCCCUGUCAAACUGCA
rnacentral:sRNA from 1 species